GGACGAACGCUGGCGGCGUGCUUAACACAUGCAAGUCGAGCGGUAAGGCCCUUUCGGGGGUACACGAGCGGCGAACGGGUGAGUAACACGUGGGUGACCUGCCCUCAGCUCUGGGAUAAGCCUGGGAAACUGGGUCUAAUACUGGAUAUGACUCCACGGUGCAUGUCGUGGGGUGGAAAGCCUUGUGCGGCUGAGGAUGGGCCCGCGGCCUAUCAGCUUGUUGGUGGGGUGANGGCCUACCAAGGCGACGACGGGUAGCCGGCCUGAGAGGGCGACCGGCCACACUGGGACUGAGACACGGCCCAGACUCCUACGGGAGGCAGCAGUGGGGAAUCUUGCGCAAUGGGCGAAAGCCUGACGCAGCGACGCCGCGUGAGGGAUGACGGCCUCGGUUGUAACGUACUU
rnacentral:rRNA from 1 species